rnacentral:lncRNA from 1 species
AGAUAUUCGGAUCGGUUAAGAUUUGUUUCUUUAAACAUAUAAUAUCGUCUUGUGACAAAGUCAGGUGAUAAUCAUAUGGUGAAGUGUGUGACACACAUACAUUGAUGUACAGUGUAAGUAUCGUCUGUAUUAAUUUAAAUAUCAAUAUUUAGCAUGUUUAUCUAUUAUCAUUAAAGUUCAUAAUAUCAAAUAAAAUUUGUAGAUUUGGCUAAUUAAGGUAUUUUUUUUUUAAUUAAAAUUUAUUUUUAGUGCCAUUUAAAAAACAAGUCAGCCCUAAAUAAAAAUGGUUUGCCACCCCCUCUCUGUGAUUAAUAUAAUAUAACUCUGGUUAAUUUUCACAACAUUGUAUCAUUAUUGGUAGACAAUAUAAUUAGGGUUUAAUUUAUGUUUUUUUCUAAAAGAAAAGUUGAAAUGUUUUAUGUAAGUUCCAGUCAUAAUUUUUCACUAAAGCACUUGACAUAAGUUUGAAGUUUCUGGAAUUAACUUUUGGUUAUGGUGUUCUGUUUUUGUGUUUGUGUGUAUGCAUAUCUUAUUUGUGUUUGUAUUAAGAGUUGUUAGAUUAUUAUAUACAUGUAUUUGUCUUUAGGGAAGCGAUUAAUGUAGAUAAAUUAAGACAAUAUGUAUGUUUCAUUUGAAUUUUGACAUUAUUAUAUACACCAUAUUCAAACAAUAAAUACUUUCACAAGUAGCAGAAUAAAUGCUGUUUGAGGUUAUAUGAUGCUGACAACAACUUAAAACAGAAUAUUCUUGACAGCAGAAUGAAACAUGCUUUAUUCAGCUGUAAAUAUAUACCUCAAAAUUUCAGAUGACAAAUUACUUUUAAAUCAUUGUAUUACUAUAAUACGUCUUUAAGAAUAAACAAUUUCAGGAUCAGAAUUAUUCACGACCUUUAUGUACCUGCAUUUUGAAAACUGAGAUUUAAUCACAUGUACAUUAAGUUUUAAGUUUGGUCAGAGAAAGUCAACUCCCAGUGAAGUAACUCCUUUAAUCAUUGUCACGUUAAGACUUUUCAAUUUGCUUGAUGUAUUCUUAUUCAUUAAUCACUUAUACGUGAACAAUAAAAAAACAGAACAACACAAAGCAAAUAAAACCAAUCAGAUAUCAUGAUUCCAAGAUAAAACAUAUAAAGAAUUGUUAUAAUUAGUUCAGAAUACUUUUACUAUUUCUUUUCAGAAACAUAUGAAUGCUCAUUCGAUGACGUGGAAAGUCAUUUUUUUGGUGAGACAAUCUUUUUCUUAUUAAUAUGUUUACCAGUAUGUUGAUGAUCUAUUAACGUGUAUACAGUUUUGCAAACAAAUAAAGUAUUUAGCUUUUAAUUCACACAUGCAUAUACAACCCACAGGUCAUUGAAAUGCACGAAUCAUAAUGUUAUUUCAGAAUUUAGCAAUGGAAUGAAUUUGAACACAUAAGACAUUAUUUGAUAUUACGAUAUGUGACAUACAAGAUGAUAGUAUUACUAAGCUUCAAGUGUUAUCAAUGUUGUACUCGAUAAGACUGACUAUGCAUACAUGUUAUGAUUAUUAAUUACAUAAAACAAUCCUUUACGUAAAAAAUAGCAGGAAAUAGUAAAUAUGUUGUGACAGGAAAUUGUCCAUGUAGGUAGUGCAAGUUUUAUUUAAGAUAUGAGGAAGCAAUUUGACAAUAACUAAACAUAAUAUGCCUUAAAAAACAAUAAAGAACAAACAAAAUACCGAAUGUGACUAGAAUGAUAACACAAUUAGGUCGUGUUUUUGUUAAACAUUAGUAACUGUGUCCAAUGUAGAAUAAAAAUGUUUUCUCCUGCAUAGCUCAUAUUUUUUGUUGUUCAUAUUUUGUGUUUCAUUAAUUUGUUCAUUAAGGCAUUUUUUCUAGGCUACAUUUGUUCAUCUAUCAUCACUUUGAUCCACUAAAUGACUAAUAACCUUUGAUUUAAAACCGUUUUACAAUAACACUUAGACUAUUAGUUAUGACAAAUAUUGCAUGACAUCAAACUUUGUUUAUGGACUUAGCUUUCAUAGAUAUAAGAAGAUGUGGUAUGAGUGUCAAUGAUCGAGAUAACUCUCCAUCCAAGUCACAAUUUGUAAAAGAAAAACCAUUAUAGGUCAAAGUACGGUCUUCAACACGAAGCCUUGGCUAACGCCGAACAGCAAGCUAUAAAGGGCCAUACAAAUGACUAGUGUUAAACCAUUCAAAUGGGAAAACCAACGGUUUAAUCUAUAUAAAAAUUGAGAAACGAGAAACACUUAUGAACCACAUCAACACACGCAUGAUAUAUUUUAUUGAUGAUAUUUUAUUCUUAAUUGCCAUUUGAAAUUAAGUUGGAUAUGUCUAGACAUUGACCACCAGAAGCAGUUUCCGUAUUUACUUAUUUAAAUGUACAGGCCGUCUUUAACUUGUCACCGUGACUUAUUCCAUAGCAACAUGAUAAACCUGUUAAUGGUGUUUUUCCUUAUUCAGCAUUUUUGUCCAACUCAUUAUUUUUAUGUUUUGAGAUAUUAAAAAGAGUAUAAGGGGCUAAGUAUUUUUACUCCAUUCUUCAUUCCACCUGUUGCUGUGUUAGACCACUACUUCACAAUCCCUAUCUAUUAUGAAGGAUAUUAAGAAAUGGUCACAGCUCUCUAGAUAUUUGAUCUUAAUCAAAUUUCAUACAAACGAGGUAUUUUCAGAACUGUACACAUAUCUACUUUCUACAUGCCAAUUGUCAACGAAUGCUUCAAGUCUUGUAAUGAAACACCACCGUUCGCACGUUAACUACGGUAAUCAACAAAAAUAACGUUUAUUUUUCAGGAAGCCUUAAAUAACUUUUACUUUCGAGUGCAGUAAUUCUCAAUUUCAAAUAAAAACUCAUUGUAAUUUAAAUUUUGGCAUAUAUUUCUCGUCAUGAAAAGUUUCAUUUCUGCAAAUGUUUUGCUUAGUUUUAGUAAAGAAUGACACAAAAUACGUUAUGUUUUGUCAGGGAAGGGUUACUGUAACAUUUAAUCAGAGACAUAUAUACACAUGUAUGUCUCUUGUUUGAUGAUAUAAAUUAAAGUUGGUGAAUUGGUGGUCUGACACCGUAACAACCACGGUUUGCGAUUCUCAAAUACUGUAUUCUAUUUCGAUAGACUGUGGUAUACUGUGUUAGCUGUAUGUGUCCUCCGCCUACGAUGAACACGUCAUUCGCCACACAGAAGUGCUCCAAUGAUCCUAGAUCGUACCAUUGUCUCUGGGACGGCCUAAAUGAUAAAUUUAUUGAAAUUUGUGUAUCUCCAGAGUAUUACACACCAGGUAAUUAUCAAUGUUUU